GACGAACCGUGCAAACGUUAUUCGGAAUCACUGGGCUUAAAGGGCGCGUAGGCGGGUUCUCAAGUCAGGGGUGAAAUCCUCCAGCUCAACUGGAGAAGUGCUUUUGAUACUGGGAAUCUCGAGUGAGGUAGGGGCAUGUGGAACUUCCGGUGGAGCGGUGAAAUGCGUAGAUAUCGGAAGGAACGCCGGUGGCGAAAGCGACGUGCUGGACCUCUUCUGACGCUGAGGCGCGAAAGCUAGGGGAGCAAACAGG
rnacentral:rRNA from 1 species